CUUUUGUGCUACCGGUGCUUAACCUAACUCCUCAGAUACCAUCAAGUCAAUGCUUGCACACAUUUCGACUUCUAGCUAUUGUUCACAGUUUUCAUCACAUCUAAUCUUGAUGCUAUUUACUCUUAACAGUAGUUGCAAAAACUGUAUUAUUUUGUUUCCAUGCAAUUCUGAAUGAGUUUCUUCAGAUCACGUAAUUCACAUGGGAAGAAGAAAAUGUUUGAGGUUACCAUCUCAAUACAUUACUUCGACCUCCUAAAUAGCUAUAUGUUACUGAAUUUGUCAUUUUUUUGUUUCAUGUCUGCAGGAAACAAAAUUACUCUUGAAUCUGGCAGUGAUUGAGCUAAGUGAUAUUACUUUUCCUGUCUAUCCAUCAUUUUACAUCAAAGGUUACACUCCAGGCCAUAUAUUUCACUUCUGAUGUGUAUUCUGGCAACAACAGUUUUUUUUUGUUUGCCAUUUUCUUUCUACCAAAUAGACAUUGUGCAAACAAGCUUAUAAAUU